GGAGUUGAUGCUAGUCGCCAAGCUUUAUUCAAGGAUGCUGAUAAAUACUGUAAGACAGUAUUGGGAAGGCUCUCCAGUGGGCAUGGUUGCGUGAAGGCUAUGUUCUUAACUCUUGUGGUAGUGGCUGUUGGCGCAGCUGUUGUGUUCCCAAAACUUGAUGAAUGGGAUUGGAACAAGUUGCUUGCUGAAGCCCAGAAAUCGUUCUGAUCGAAUUUUUAAUCCUUACUGAGUUGGAAAUAUGGAUUUUCUGGAAAGAGGCAAAACUAAUUCAAAGGGGGCAAAAUAAAAGUGACGGAGAGAUAGGUGUUUGUGCAAUAGCAAGCCUGAUGAGUUUUACUAAUAUAUAAUAUUCGGCAUGUAAAAGAAGGAAGUUUGAUAUGAUCGACCAUAUGGAACUAAUUUUUCUUUUUCCUUGUUCCUGUUAGAGUUAGAAGAGAUCGUCCUUGAUGUAAUCAGCACUAAUCUCAGCUGAGCACACAGAAAUUGAUAUACUUGUUUCUUUUUCUUCCUCUUUUGGAUACAGAUUUUGUUCAACAGUUUCUUGAGGAUUUUGUAUUUGUGCUGAUUUGUUUCUUGCUUGCUUUUGAUGUUUGCAAUUGCUAAUGUGCGUUUCCGUUGGUGUUAAUGAAACGAUGUAUGUAGUUUCAGUUUGUUAUGCUACAGAUUUGUAUUUGGGGGCAAUGUUGUUUUGUAUUGCAUUUGAAGAGAGAUGGGUGCCUGCAGUUUGUAGAGUGAGAAUCGAUGAUUGAGAGAUGUGUUGACAAAAUUGCACCCUUCUGAUCCAACAAGG
rnacentral:lncRNA from 1 species